CCUUCCCUGAGUUUCAGAACAAAUUUAAUCAGAGAAGUGAGAAAAUUCAGAAAUAAAGGAAAACCGUCAAGCAAGACAAACUAAGAAGAGUUUAGCCAUUCGACAAAGUCAAGGACCUCAAGAACCUUAAGUUCCUCCUCAAGGACUACAGGUGUGAUGACCGUUUUUAACUCCACGGCGAUUUUGAAGACCAGGAACGUUCAUGGGAAACACGUUCCAUUUGAUGUGAGCGUCUCCUCUGAGUUUCCUUGUGGUGUCUGCCUCCCAAAGCCUUCUUCCUCCCUCCUCCGUACCUGAUCAAGCACAGGUGAAGGAAUGAAGUCAUUGCUCUAGACCUGCCACCCAAGAGUCAGGAUGCAGACACAUCACCAAAGAACAAGGUCCUUCCAGAGUGGCCCGACUUUGGUGCUGUUGACAACUGAGGCUGGAUCCUUUAGGGUGGGGGCUGAUCAGGAGGAUGGGCAACUCCAGCGGAAGACUUAAGAGAGACAGAAGAAAUGCCUUCUCCACGGGCAGAUGGAGUGAGCAGUGUAGAAUCCAUCACCACAGUUCAAGGCAUCUCAGAGACUCAUUUCUGAAGCCAGGGCAGAAGAAUCGUGCUGCAUCUCUACAGAAACGUAGGAACUGGGACUGGUGGAUCAACAGUUAUUACAGAAGUUGAAAGAAGGAAGGAAAGAAGAAAACAUGAGUAGCAGAUGAAGAGAAACCCAUCAUUUUAUGUCUUUUUGCUUCUCGCUGCACCCUCACUCCAGGGAGACUCAGUGCAUGAGGAGGAGUGAUUUUAAGAAAGAGAGCUUCGCCCCAGUGUCCACUGACAGAGGAAUGGAUAAAGAAGAUGUGGUACAUGUAUGCAAUGGAAUACUACUCAGCCAUAAAAAAGAAUGACAUCAUGCCAUUUGCAGCCACAUGGAUGGACCU